rnacentral:rRNA from 1 species
GACGGAGGAUGCAAGCGUUAUCCGGAAUGAUUGGGCGUAAAGCGUCCGCAGGUGGCAGUUCAAGUCUGCUGUCAAAGACCGGGGCUUAACUUCGGAAAGGCAGUGGAAACUGAACAGCUAGAGUAUGGUAGGGGCAGAGGGAAUUCCUGGUGUAGCGGUGAAAUGCGUAGAGAUCAGGAAGAACAUCGGUGGCGAAGGCGGUUCUCUGGGCAUGUCCUGACGCUGAGGAGCGAAAGUGUGGGGAGCGAACAGU